GCCCAGCCGGUCUGGCAGGUGCCGGCCGCGGAGUCUCCGGCUGGCGGCGGCCAUGGAGGGGCUGCGUCGCGGGCUGUCGCGCUGGAAGCGCUACCACAUCAAGGUGCACUUGGCCGACGAGGCGUUACUGCUGCCACUGACCGUGCGGCCCCGCGACACGCUGAGCGACCUGCGCGCGCAGCUAGUGGGCCAGGGCGUGAGCUCGUGGCGCAGAACCUUCUACUACAACGCCAGGCCGCUGCCCGACCACCAGACGGUGCGGGAGGCGCGCUGCAGGACGGCUCCGUCUUGCUGCUGCUCAGCGACCCCAGGUGACCAGGGAUCUGGGCGAGGACCUGGGUAGCUGGGGCUGGAGGAGCCAUGAUUUUGGGAAUGCGAGGUGCUGGCUGAGGGAGCAAGCUGGGCCAGAGGGAACCACAGCUCUCUCUUCCUGGGAACCCAGCCUUAUUCCAGGUGCUGGGCUCCCAGGUAGAUGCGACACCCCGGCCCUGCUGAUGCCCACUGCCUCCCGGAUGCUGCCCUCCAGCCCUCCAGCGAGGAGUCUUCUGGUUUCUCCGUGGCCUUGGAACCCUCCCCUCGCCCGGGAGCCUCCACCACCUGGAUCUUCUGCCACCCCCGCAUCCAGGAAGCCCUCCAGUCAACAGAUGCAGUUCCUUCUCUGGGGACCCACAGGGCUCCAGCUGUGAACAGCCCUGGCUUCGGGAGGAGCUGCUGGGUUCCUGACCGAGGAGACUCUGAUCCUGGGGGGCCUUGGUGACCCCGCGCAUGUGCAAAAUGAUCUGGCGCGUACUGUGGCUGCUCCGCUCCGCAGCCUCGGUGUUGGGGCGCCGUGCUGGGCCUUUGUGUGGCCCCCUGGUGCUGCGGACUGCAUGGUGAGCCCAGAAGGAAAUUGCGUUUUAAUUAAGAGUUGUACAGGCCUCGGGGUGCAGAGCUGAGCAGGUGGGGGCUGAAUGUUGGCCUUGGGGAGCUGGGUUGCUGGGCACGCACAGCUGCACCAGGCCCUGGGGGUCUGGGCCCCCCUCUGCCUCCCCGGUCUCCAGGGCUCGACUGUGGGGGGGGAACUGCAGUCCCCGUGGGGUUCCUUGGCCCUGGCCACAGGGAGAGAUGGGGGGGGAAGGGCUGGCGGGGGGGGGGGCAAGAGAAAGCAUUUUUGACAUUUAACAAACACUAUGCAAAUCGCAUGCAAAUUGCAUGCAAAUCACCACUCAUUCCUUAGCCUGACAGCCCUGGCAUGUUCAGAAAUAAUAAUGUAGGGCCUGUCCCCUGGUGCCCGUCCAGCAGCCUUCCCUCCCCUGCCCUCCCCCUCCCUCCCUCCUUCUCUUCCCAUCUUUGAUCCAAGGCCUCCCAGCCUGUAGCAUGUGAACCAAGGCCCACGGAGGCCCCGGGUCUGGCUUGAGGUCCCAGAGCCGCAGUUUGGGAAGCAUGUGGCCUCUCCAACAGUCGUCAGAAGCCACUUUGGACGGAACUUGUGACCCACAGAGAAAAGUGACAGCCGGGGAGGCUCCAGGCCUGUGGCGGCUUGCAGUCAUCCCAGAAGGUGUUGAGGGUCAGGCUGCUGAGUAUGCACGGCCCACAAGUUCAUCCUCGCUCCUUUCCUCCUGAGGUCUCCCUGAAUUCUGCCCACAGGCCCUUCCGUUUUUUUUUUCCCUCCAAACUCCUAUUUAUCCUACAAAGGCCUACUUUCAGUGCCCCAUUUUUACAGAGCCAUUCCUGAUACUCCAAUAAUACUCCCUCUGGGCCCUGUCCAGCACUGUGCUCCUGUCCUAGGCCUGAGUCGUGAGACCAGGUGGUGUCAGGCUCAUUCCACCUGGGUGAACUCACGGCAGGAGCUGCAAGGUCCACAGUCUGGGUUCUAGGCACAGGGGGCAUUUUGAACGUGUGUCAAAUAAAGACUGAAGACCAGCAGGUGGUCCCUGCAGUGACGGCUC